ACCCCUCGAUGCCCUGCCCCUACAUCAUCGCCUUUUUUUAUAAACUUUCCAUCGAAUCAAACAUGCUCAGAUCCGAACCAACAUUUUCGGAAUCAUCAUUUGGGGCUUUCCCAUUGUUUCCUUAUCCCACUGAAACUUGUUUUAGCCACAAUCAAGGUUGAAUUGAUUAGUAGAAUAAGUUCACAUCUCUUUAUUAGCUUAUCUUCCAACCUGCAGCUAUUUUUUGAAUCUUACCAUACUAUGCAUC
rnacentral:lncRNA from 1 species